rnacentral:rRNA from 1 species
CGUGCAGGAUGAAGGCCUUCGGGUUGUAAACUGCUUUUCUUCGGGAAAAAUUCGUGAUUGUACCGGAGGAAUAAGAGGUUACUAACUCUGUGCCAGCAGUAGCGGUAAUACAGAGACCUCAAGCGUUAUCCGGAUUUAUUGGGCGUAAAGAGCAUGUAGGCGGAUAUGUUAGUCAGACGUCAAAUCUUCGAGCUUAACUCGAAAACUGCGUUUGAAACGGCAUGUCUGGAGAGAGUGAGAGACUGAUGGAACAUAUGGUGUAGCAGUGAAAUGCGUUGAUAUCAUAUGGAACACCAAAGGCGAAGGCAUUCAGUUGGCACUCUUCUGACGCUGAGAUGCGAAAGCGUGGGUAGCGAAUGGGAUUAGAUACCCCAGUAGUCCACGCCGUAAACGAUGCACACUUGGUAUUAGGAGAAUCGACCCUUCUAGUGUCGGAGCUAACGCGUUAAGUGUGCCGCCUGGGAAGUACGGCCGCAAGGCUA